rnacentral:rRNA from 1 species
ACGUAGGAGGCAAACGUUAUCCGGAUUUACUGGGCGUAAAGCGCGUGUAGGUGGUUUGGUAAGUAGAGCGUGAAAGCUCCUGGCUCAACUGGGAGAGGUCGUUCUAAACUGCCGGACUAGAGGGUGGUAGAGGGAGGUGGAAUUCCGGGUGUAGCGGUAGAAUGCGCAGAUAUACGAAGAAACACCUGUGGCGAAAGCGACCUCCUGGACCACUCCUGACACUCAGUCAUGAAAGCUAGGGUAGCAAGCAG